UUAAACUCCGCCAUUUUGCCUCUCAGUGUUCAAGCUUGAGCCCACGCAUCCAACUCCUGAGAUCUUACUGGGAAGCUGCUGAUCAUCAGUUUCAGGGUUUCAAUACUCUCUAGACGUUUUCCACUGGUUACUUGGUAUAUGUUCUAUGUAUAUGAAGACAAUGAAGAUAAGUUACAAAGUCAUUUACUCAGAAUGUGCCCAGAAUAUGUAAAUGGAGAGGAUGUUAUUUGGUGUGUGCGGUCUAUGUAAAUGCAGAGGACGAAUAUGAAGUUACAAAGUGUAAAUGGAGCGGAUGUCACUUGGCGUGUGUGGUCUAUGUAAAUGGAGAGGAUGUCACUGUGUGUGCGGUUUAUGUAAAUGGAGAGGAUGAAUGUGAAGUUACAAAGUGUAAACGGUGUAAAUGGAGAGGAUGAAGUGAGGUUACAAAGCCAUUUAUAUUCCAUUUGAUUUUGUUCUAGGAAGUCAGCAUGGAUCAGCCUUACGUUCAUGGCCUCCAGGCCCUAUUCUCCUGCCUCACAGGGACCGGCCAGGAUCUCUAUCCUUACAGCACGUUGGAAUGUAUAUGCUCCUCUCCCCACAUCGCCUUAGGGAGCAGGCAGGUGUCAGGGGCAGCACAAGGACGGCCAACAGGACAGGCAAACACGUCCUUCUUCACAUGUCGUCGUCAUCAAGGAGAAGUGCUGAGCCAAAGGGGGAAAAGCCCUUGAGAAAACCAUCAAGUCUUGAGACGGGUUGAAGAUCCGAGAGGCUGAGUCACUUCCACAAAGUAACACAGCUGGUUUUAAAUGCCUGCAUUCAGCAUCCCUGCAGCAGGCUCCAGGUGGAAUUCUAAUGGGACCAGCCUCCAGUCCCUGGACCUUAGCCGUGGAAGGAGAGAAGAGGACAUCUGCACCUCCUCUCAGAGAAAGCCUGAUGCCUACUAAAGGACUUGGGUGGUGGACGCAGUGACCCUCAGUCUGGAGCUUGUUCACUGAACAUUGGAGACUAUCAUUUGCGCAGAUGGUCUUGGGCCUCUAUGAGCAGCAGGCUGCACCCCACAGUGACCUCCUCAUUCUACUCUGAGGCAUCUUCAUGAAAGCAGAUGUCCAUUGAAAAGCACCCAAGUGCAGUCUCAGCUGAUGAACUUCAGAGGCGAUUGAGACAAAGGCUCUCGGUCCCCUCUGCCCUUGGAUGGUGCCUCUGGUAUGCACUUGGCCUCUGUGUCUUUAUUUAGACUGGUCACUUCACAACCCAUCAUGUCACCCCACCCCUAACCGUGCCCACUCUGGGUCCUCCCCUCAACUGCCUGACUUCCCACUUUGAGCUCAGCAAAGGCAAUAGAUGUUUUGUCUGCUUCGAUACCCUAAAUGCAUGGCGUGGAAGCUGGCACACAGUGGGCCCUUGAAAUUUGG
rnacentral:lncRNA from 1 species